CAAUGGGCCUUGCUGCAUUCCAAAAAAAGUCUAUUUAGAGAAAUGGAUAAUGGGCCCGGUUUGGCCUGCAGGCCAUAACCUCCUGUCCAGAGGGAUGGGGCUUUAGGAGCCUGGGAAUUGAUGCUUCCCCAACCCACCAGGAAGGCCCUAAACCAAUGACUGGUUGGAACUGGUGGAACAGCUCCCUUGCCGUUCAUAGGGAGUAACCGAGGUGCAUGUUCCAUACUGUCUUCCAGAGUUACCCAGGGAGAUUAAGCCCCAUUUUCCCACAGUGAUUACUUGCCUGCUGGCGCACCCUGUAUUGAUUUCCUUACCUUUUGUGUCUCACUUCUUCACUCCCCUACUGGUAUUUCCUGGCAUCACCUCCAAAAUAAACUACUUGCACUCAGUCCUGGCUCAUGUCUUCUCAAUCCAACAUCUCCUCUGGGUACUGUGCAACCUCUUGCUUCCCUUUCUUGGACCAGGAGUUUACCUAUACCCAUCUCUGUUCCAUUUGCUCUGCAACCCACUGCAGUCUGCUUUCUACCCCCAAUGUCUCAGCAAAGUUGUUUUUUCCUAAACAUAUAGGAUGGUCUUCCAUUUUAGUUGGCUUCUGCACAGCUUUCAACACGUUGCCACUCUUUUCUCAGAACUCUCUCCUUCCUUGGCUUCAUGACGUCACUCUCUCUCUGCUUUCCCUCCUACCUCUCUGCCAUUCCUCCUCAAGUUCUUUCUCAGCUCCUCAAAACUCCAAGUGCCCUUUAAAUGUUGAGAUUCCUAAGGCUCCACCACCCCUGGCCUUCUUCUCCUCUUACUCUGAGGUUGCACACUCUCCUUGGAUGGUUCCUUCCAAGUAGGAGUCACAGUUGACUUCCCAGUUGCUCUGUGCCCACAGAGCACAGUCCCAAGUGGCAGAUCUCCACUCCAGCUGCCCAUCAAAUCUCUCCAACAUGUCCUAAACCCAAACCAUUCUUUUCUUGCCCCUCUCUGAUUAAUGUCACGACCAUCCUCCAGUCACCGGGGCCACUUGGAGUCAUCUCAAACUGCUUCCCUUCUUCGUGCAGGAUGCACAGCUCACCACUCAAUCUUGUCCCCCCAGCCUCCUACAGAUCUCUCCUCUCCUUCCCCAGGUCAUGACCCUGGGCUCGGGCCACCAUCCUCUUGUACUCAGAUGGCUGCAUCAGUCUCUUCACCUGUUCCUCUGGCUCCAGAGGCCCCAGUCCAGCCCCUCCUCUGCACUGUUGGCAGAGCAGUUCCUUCCAAAGUGCAAAUAUGAGUCCUUCCUCACUCUGCUGGCAACCCUUCCACGAUCUCACGACCUCAGGUAAGGUUCAGAUCCCUUAACAGGCCUCCAGGAUCCUUCGCGAUCCAGUCCCUGUCCACCUGUCGAGCCUCACCUCCCGCCACUUCGCAUGCUUUAGCCGAGCAGCUCUCCACCCUGGCUGAAUUAUUAGCAUCACCUGGAAAGCUUUAAGAAAAUAUCAGUGCCUUGAUCCCAUCCCCAGAAAUUAUGAUUUACAUGGUCGGGGUGAGGCACAGCCACUGGUAUUUUUUCAAAGCCCCCAAGCGAUUCUAACAUGCAGCCAGAGCUAAGAAGCAAUGGCUUAGAGUUCUGCACAGCUCCCGUGUUCCCCCGUGGCCCCUGUGCCGGUCAUCCCACUCUUGCAACACCUUCCUCUCUCCUUGCUUCACGUGCAUGACAUCUACUUAUCACUUAAAACUUCCCAGUCUGAGUCCGGAGUUUUCCUCUGAGUUUCCUCUGCUUCACCCCAUCAGAGCAUUUAUCACACUGAAUAUUAACUAUCUGUACCGCCAUCUCUUAACAGGUAGUGACCUUCCUAGGACAUCUUUCAUCACUACAACACCAGAGCCUUCCACAGUGGCUCCCUCAUUAGAUGACUCAGUACAUGUUUGUUGAAUGAAUGAAUGACCUCCCUCCCCCUCUGGCCAUAAGAAUAGCAACCUUAUUAUUUUUUCACUGCUCCCUCUUCUUCCCCUAGUUCAAUGCCAAUGCACAUAGUAGGUGCUCAAUAAAUAUUUGUUGAGGGAAUUAAUAAACAUAAGACACUAGAGACGAGCAUCCACCCUGUCCUCAUUUUUACAGGACAGCCCUGGGGAGCAGAGACAAAUUAAAUUGAACUUCCUACAGUUUUGCUAAAAUGGAAUUUGCCAAAGACGUCCUGAAAAAUGGAUUUAAUUAGGCCCAUUAAUAGGGGAGUCAUUGGUGGCUAAGAUUUAAAGCUGAGGCUGGAAGAGGUAUGGGUAAUUUUACCAUUUUAAAUUAUAUAGGACAUUAUUUCUCAGCCCCACCUUAAUUAUAAGAGUGCAUCUCCAUGAAAUCUCAGCUUUGGAGGGAAAUAAAGCCACAGGUAGAGGCAAGAUCUGAUAUUUCACUGCAAUGGAGCAUCAGAAGCAUCCCGGCAGAACGCUAACCAGCUCAGCCCUGUUGAGCGCCAUGUGGGAGCAGGGGGAGCGGCGCCCAGCCAGACCUCAUUACGCUAACGAUUGUCAGUCCAACUCGGUGUGGCGUUUAAUUGCCAUGAAACUCCACAUAGGUUUUCAGAGACUGGCAGACUUCUCGCCUUCACUUCUCCCAUUAGGCUCAGAGACCUGAGUUCUGAGUGGCUCCAUGAUCAGAUCCCAGAAGGGAUGCACCCUUCUUCUUUAGCUCACAGCUGUCCCCUAAUCAUGGAGCCAAGCACAAGAGAUUCAGUCUGGGGUUCCACGUCCUUCACACACAGAGCCCUGAAUACCCACGGGAAGACUGUCUCUUCUCUGGGCACUUAGGAAAUGAGUCUUGAUACAGAGGAGGGCAUCGUUCAUUCCACAGAUCUUCACCGACUGUAACUACGUGGCAGGCACCGUUCCCGACAGAGCUGGGACAAGGGUGAGGCGAGGGUGGCACUCGUCUCAGGGCAAAAUUUAAGAGAGUGCCCAAAACUCGGGAAUCACCAUCAUCGAUAUUUUAAUACAGUACUAUUCAAAACAAAAAUCAAUGUAAAAAUAUCCAUGAUGGACAAAAUAUCAAAAUUUUAACGAUAGACAGGAUCUAAGCCUGCACUUGAGGGCCCUGCCUCGUCCGCCUCCUGCAGUCCCAGCCUGAUUCAGGGUACUGGGGAUGCAGCAGUUACCCGACCCAAGCCCUCUCUCACGGGAAUGCUCGGGCAUGUGGGCGACAAACAUUGAACCAGGUAACCAAAGAAAAUCUUUAGGGCUGGUGAAGGGCGUUAUGGAGGGGAGGGGUUCGCAGAGGAGGGGGUAAUUCCACGGUAAACAUCAAAACCCUGUCCCUAGCCCAGACUUUCUACUGCCCGGUGGAGCAGAAAGAACAGGGACUCCCGAGUGAGUCCAAGGGACGGAUCCCAGCCCCAGCGCCACCUCACUAGGUCAUAGGGCAAGUCACCAGGUCUCCAGGCUCCAUUCUCGCAUGCUGUCAUCUGAGGAGUGGAAAGGCAGAAGUUCACAGUAACAACGACAACACCGUGAGCGGUCACUGCGCACGGAGCCCCGUGUUCACCCCCUCACUGAGCCCUCAUGGAAAUGCGGUGACAGCAGGGUUUCUGUCACGCGGUAAGCUGACACUGCACGUUGAGCAGCUUGGCCACAGCAGAGUGAGGCUCCGAGCUUCCUCAGGCCGAGUUCCCAGCCACAACGUUCGGCACCUCAAACGGAAGCAGGGUUCUGCAUCUGAGUCAUCUUGAGCAAGUCUCUGGAUCUUUCUGAGCCUCGCUGUCCUCCUCUGCAGAAUGGGGAUAAUAACAUGGCUCCCCACAGGACUGAUGAAGCCAGGCUUCCGGCAUGCAGUGGGCGCCCAGUAAAUGUGAGCGCCCCACUCCCCCUGCCCCUGCCCUGGGCCGGCGGAGGCAACACCAGUCCCCAAGGCAAGGGGCAGAAUCAACAGGGGAAGUUCAAAUGCAGCCCAUUUCCUAUUUUCCUGACAGCCUAUUUCAUGGAUCACGGAGACCCAAGUACAGCUGCUUACUCAACGAGGACAGAAUGAAUUCAUUUUCAUUCCUUAAUACCCGAUGUGACCUAUUCUCUGUUGCUCCCUCCUUUCCGAGGCUGCAGCCCUUGCCAUGGACUUUCAAUUCGGCCAGAGAGAGAAAAUGUGCAGUAAUGACAGCAUGUCCUGCCCGGAGAAUGCUGGGAGCCGAAUCACCGCCAUGCAGUAAUAAGUCCAAAUGAAAGAUAUUAUUUACUUUGCUCCACAGUUCUUGUGCUUGAUCUAGGAAUUCUCAUCGCCACCACUCCUCAGGCCGCUUUCUGCUCCUUCCUUCCUCCCCGUCCCCAUCCUUCACCCACGGAAUCCACAGUGAAGAACACGAGAGAAUUAUUUUGCCACAGGUCUCAGGAAGCUGCGUGAUGAGCCCUGAGCAGGAGCGGGUGCCUCCUUGGUGGCCCUCAGCCCUCAGAGAGGCUCACCCCCUUCCAGCCCCCUUAGCCUCCUCCCAGUUCCUGCGCCCCCA
ensembl:lncRNA